AGUGGCGAAAGGGGCAGUAAUGCAUGGGUAACCUACCUUCAGGUCGUGGAUAGCCUUUCUAACGAUUGGGUAAUACACGGCGUGGUCAUUAGGCGGCAUCACCAGAUGACUAAAGAAUUUCGCCUGAAGAGGGGCCCAUGUCGUAUCAGCUAGUUGGUGAGGUAACGGCUCACCAAGGCAAAGACGCGUAGCGGGUGUGAGAGCACGACCCGCGCCACUGGCACUGAGACACUGGCCAGACUCCUACGGGAGGCUGCAGUCGAGGAUCUUUGGCAAUGAGCGCAAGCUUGACCAAGCGACGCCGCGUGUGCGAUGAAGGCCUUCGGGUUGUAAAGCACUGUCGAGGGGGAGGAAGCCGCAAGGUUGACCUAUCCCUGGAGGAAGCACGGGCUAAGUUCGUGCCAGCAGCCGCGGUAAGACGAACCGUGCAAACGUUAUUCGGAAUCACUGGGCUUAAAGGGUGAGUAGGCGGGUUCAUAAGUCUGUGGUGAAAUCCUUCAGCUUAACUGGAGAAGUGCCAUGGAUACUGUGAGUCUCGAGGAGGGUAGGGGCAUCUGGAACUGCCGGUGGAGUGGUGAAAUGCGUUGAUAUCGGCAGGAACUCCGGUGGCGAAGGCGAGAUGCUGGAUCCUUUCUGACGCUGAACCACGAAAGCCAGGGGAGCAAACGGGAUUAGAUACCCCGGUAGUCCUGGCCCUAAACGAUGAGAACUAGA
rnacentral:rRNA from 1 species